rnacentral:lncRNA from 1 species
GUGUUAUUGCUGCCUUUCUUUUGUCCUGGUGCACUGAGAGGGAAACAUCCUGUGUGGCUGAAGAGAUUGAACAUCACCAGCAAACCCCCAGGAGGAAAAAGACAGUUGUGUCUACCAGUGAUAGCAAAGGGAGACAGGUGGGAUCCCUGCAUGGCAUGGCAUGGGUGUGAAGAGGAACAAGUCACCCUGGAUCUGGUAGGUGUUGUGAUACGAAGUUGACCUCAAUGGGCGUGUGUGUGGAGGGGAGGGAGAGGCAGAGACUGAUUUCCUUUAACCUGCCUUUUAGAGAGAGAGUUUUUGUUUUAUUUGUUUUGUUUUUUUUUUUUUUUUUUUGAGACAGGGUUUCUCUGUAUAGCCCUUGAACUCACUCUGUUGACCAGGCUGGCUUCAAACUCAGAAAUCCUGCCUCUGCCUCCUGAGUGCUGAGACUAAAGGAGAGAGAGCGCCACCACGCCCGGCUAGAGAGAGGUAUUUUACUUUUGUCUGAUCUUCCUGAGGGAAGGAAAGCAGUGAAUGUGUCAGAGCAUGCUCACUCAUAGCUGAAAUUAAAUAGGAGAAAGGUUAUUGUGAGAGAGGGUUGGGAUGGACCAGCUUGUUUAAUGUUUGCAGAAACCUACAGAAAGCUUCCUAUAAACAGAUGAGUAAGAGUAAGGCCAGUGACAGGAUUGUAGAGCAUUUACAAUCUCAGUAGACAUCAGGAGUAGACAAGAACAGCAGCAGUAGUCUUGUCUAAAUAUGGCUCAGCAGGUAAAGGUACCUGUCACCAAACUUGAAGUCCUGAAUUCUAUGGUUGAGUAUUUAUUUGUACAGGAACACACUAAUAAAUGUGAAAAAAAAAAUAAAGAUCUCUUCCAAUGGCUUCUACAUAUUUAAGAUGAGCAAAAGUAAUUUGUAGUAAGAGAAGAUGAAAAUGUGUUGUAUUCUCAGUAACUCUUUAAGGAAACUAAGAUACAGCUAAACGUGAUCGAUCAUGCUUAGCUGAAGUACCGGCUCCGAGCAUCAAGGUAGCCUACCCCACCUAGGAAUAACCAAAAUAAAGCAAUACAAUUGCUUCUAUGUAUUUUUUUUUCUUUAGAAAUUAGUGUUUAGUAAUUUACACUUUGGUUUGUCAUGGGACAGCAGUGUUAAAUGGGAUCUGUUCUCAUGUCUUAGCUGUGGGUUGAUAGCUGAGUGAAAGACUUGUGUUCUCCAGUUUGGGAGUUAAUAAGAUAAAGUAGGCCGACUUUUCUGUCUUUGAGGAGUUCAGGUAACACUGCAUUAUCUUGCUUAAUU